AGCAGAAGCCGUACCGUGAGGAGCGGUGGAUUGUAUAGAAGUGAGAAUGCCGGUGUGAGUAGCGAGAUGUAGGUGAGAAUCCUACACACCGAAAGCCCAAGGAUUCCAGGGGAAGGUUCGUCCGCCCUGGGUAAGUCGGGACCUAACGCGAGGCCGAAAGGCGUAGUGGAUGGAAAGCAGGCGAAAGAUUCCUGCACCCGUAUAUGGAGCGAAGGAGUGACGGAGACGGAUAGUGUGACCCUCUUAAUGGAUUGAGGGCGAAGCGAAGCGGCUGGUUACCAGGCAAAUCCGGUAACCAUAAGGCUAGAGCGUGACAGGUAAGCGAAAUCUUAGGAAAGUAGCGAAGCACAUGAUGACGGCUUCCAGGAAAAGCUUCUGGCAAUGCAUAUGCGGCCCGUACCAAAACCGACACAGGUGGGCAGGGAGAGAAUCCCGAGGUGAGCGAGAGAACUGUUGCCAAGGAACUCGGCAAAAUGACUCCGUAAGUUAGCGAGAAGGAGUGCUUAAGCAAUUAAGCCGCAGUGAAGAGGCCCAAGCGACUGUUUAACUAAAACACAGCUCUCUGCGAAGUCGCAAGACGAAGUAUAGGGGGUGACACCUGCCCGGUGCUGGAAGGUUAAGAGGAUCUGUUAAGAGCGAUCUGAAGCAGUGAUCCGAAGCCCCAGUGAACGGCGGCCGUAACUAUAACGGUCCUAAGGUAGCGAAAUUCCUUGUCAGGUAAGUUCUGACCCGCAUGAAAGGCGUAAUGAUUUGGGCACUGUCUCAACAGCCCGCCCGGCGAAAUUGUAGUACCGGUGAAGAUGCCGGUUACCCGCGACAAGACGGAAAGACCCCAUGGAGCUUUACUGUAGCCUAAUAUUGGGUUUCGAUGUUGCAUGCACAGGAUAGAUGGGACACUGGGAAGCAGGUGCUUUGGCGCUUGUGGAGUGGCCGUUGGGAUACCAUCCUUGCGAUAUUGGAAUUCUAACCUGCGCCUUUGAAUCAAGGCGGGGGACAUUGUUAGGUGGGCAGUUUGACUGGGGCGGUCGCCUCCUAAAGAGUAACGGAGGCGUUCAAAGGUUCGCUCAGCUUGAACGGAAAUCAAGCAAAAGAGUGCAAACGCAGAAGCGAGCCUAACUGCGAGACUGACGGGUCGAGCAGUAACGAAAGUUGGAGUUAGUGAUCCGGUGGUAUGUGAGUGGAAAUGCCAUCGCUCAACGGAUAAAAGUUACCCUGGGGAUAACAGGCUGAUCUCCCCCAAGAGUCCACAUCGACGGGGAGGUUUGGCACCUCGAUGUCGGCUCAUCGCAUCCUGGGGCUGUAUUCGGUCCCAAGGGUUUGGCUGUUCGCCAAUUAAAGCGGUACGCGAGCUGGGUUCAGAACGUCGUGAGACAGUUCGGUCCCUAUCUGUCGUGGGCGCAGGAUAUUUGAUGGGAGCUGUCCCUAGUACGAGAGGACCGGGACGGACGUACCUCUGGCGCACCAGUUGUUCCGCCAGGAGCAUAGCUGGGCAACUACGUACGGAUCGGAUAAACGCUGAAAGCAUCUAAGCGUGAAGCCGACCCAAAGAUAAGAUAUCCCAUUGU
rnacentral:rRNA from 1 species